UGCAGUCGAACGGCAGCGCGGGGCAACCUGGCGGCGAGUGGCGAACGGGUGAGUAAUAUAUCGGAACGUGCCCUGGAGUGGGGGAUAACGCAGCGAAAGUUGCGCUAAUACCGCAUACGAUCUAAGGAUGAAAGCGGGGGAUUCGCAAGAACCUCGUGCUCCUGGAGCGGCCGAUAUCUGAUUAGCUAGUUGGUGGGGUAAAGGCCUACCAAGGCAUCGAUCAGUAGCUGGUCUGAGAGGACGACCAGCCACACUGGAACUGAGACACGGUCCAGACUCCUACGGGAGGCAGCAGUGGGGAAUUUUGGACAAUGGGCGAAAGCCUGAUCCAGCAAUGCCGCGUGAGUGAAGAAGGCCUUCGGGUUGUAAAGCUCUUUUGUCAGGGAAGAAACGGUGAAGGCUAAUAUCCUUUGCUAAUGACGGUACCUGAAGAAUAAGCACCGGCUAACUACGUGCCAGCAGCCGCGGUAAUACGUAGGGUGCAAGCGUUAAUCGGAAUUACUGGGCGUAAAGCGUGCGCAGGCGGUUUUGUAAGUCUGUCGUGAAAUCCCCGGGCUCAACCUGGGAAUUGCGAUGGAGACUGCAAGGCUAGAAUCUGGCAGAGGGGGGUAGAAUUCCACGUGUAGCAGUGAAAUGCGUAGAGAUGUGGAGGAACACCGAUGGCGAAGGCAGCCCCCUGGGUCAAGAUUGACGCUCAUGCACGAAAGCGUGGGGAGCAAACAGGAUUAGAUACCCUGGUAGUCCACGCCCUAAACGAUGUCUACUAGUUGUCGGGUUUUAAUUAACUUGGUAACGCAGCUAACGCGUGAAGUAGACCGCCUGGGGAGUACGGUCGCAAGAUUAAAACUCAAAGGAAUUGACGGGGANCCGCACAAGCGGUGGAUGAUGUGGNNUAAUUCGAUGCAACGCGAAAAACCUUACCUACCCUUGACAUGUACGGAAGCCACGANAGAUCGAGGUGUGCUCGAAAGANAGCCGUAACACAGNNGCUGCAUGGNUGUCGUCAGCUC
rnacentral:rRNA from 1 species